UAUACCGAAACCUAUCUGGUUCUAUGGAAUCACCCUAUGGGGUUCGACCAAAUCAUCAAACACCAGAACCAGUGCCGCAACUUUGUAUAAUAUUGGUGGGCGUGCAAGCAAAUAUAUAGGGCCCAUGUACAGUGACGCCUAAAACGUAAUAUAAACGAUUUCGAUUUUUUUGGAAAUUGAAUUAGCGUCAAAUUCCUGCAGUAAUAAUUUUUUUUUCUGAUUUUUUUGAUAAAUACCGGGAAUAUUUACUAGACAUAAUUUACCAAAUUCUUCAGCCAUAUUAGCAAUAUGAAAUAUUAUUUGUCUUAAGGGGCCGUUACAGUGAAUUUGUUGUCUUCGUCUUACAAGUGCAUAGCGUAGCAAAUUUUACGCUCAGCAGAACACGUUUAUCUCCUGUUAGUUUAAAAAUUAGAGAGAAUUUACCUCUUAUAAAAUUUAAAGAUAAAAAUUAAGGAAUCCAAAUUUGGUGGGUGUUGGUGAUAGAUACAGUGGAGAUACUUGGAUUUUGAAUAGAUCCAAGGACCGAUUACGAUCAGUUACUAAAGAACUAUCAUCAUUGUUUCGUAUUCAUUCUCAAGCGCCAGAAUUUGGAGUACAUUUUUUUACUACUGAACAGGUAGAAAAUAAUGAGCCUAUAACACUACCAACACUCCCAAACUAUGAUGAGUUUGAAGACAAAAAUACAAUAGGCGUUUCAAAUACUUUAGCUGCAUAUAGUGUAAGUAAGACAGGUAAAGAAGAUGGAC